rnacentral:rRNA from 1 species
UACGAAGGGGGCUAGCGUUGCUCGGAAUUACUGGGCGUAAAGCGCACGUAGGCGGCUUCUUAAGUCAGGGGUGAAAUCCUGGAGCUCAACUCCAGAACUGCCUUUGAUACUGAGGAGCUCGAGUCCGGAAGAGGUGAGUGGAACUGCGAGUGUAGAGGUGAAAUUCGUAGAUAUUCGCAAGAACACCAGUGGCGAAGGCAGCUCACUGGUCCGGUACUGACGCUGAGGUGCGAAAGCGUGGGGAGCAAACAGG